rfam:Ictidomys tridecemlineatus contig096166, whole genome shotgun sequence.
AGGGAUGUAGCUCAUUGGUAGAGUGCCUGCCUGGCAUGCAUGAGGCCCUGGGUUUGAUCCCUAGUGCCACAA